UACGUAGGGUGCGAGCGUUGUCCGGAAUUAUUGGGCGUAAAGGGCUCGUAGGCGGUUUGUCGCGUCGGGAGUGAAAUCCACUGGCUUAACUGGUGGCUUGCUUUCGAUACGGGCAGACUGGAGGCAUGCAGGGGGAGAACGGAAUUCCUGGUGUAGCGGUGAAAUGCGCAGAUAUCAGGAAGAACACCCGUGGCUAAGGCGGCUCUCUAGUACGGUACUGACGCUGAGACGCGAAAGCGUGGGGAGCGAACAGG
rnacentral:rRNA from 1 species